rnacentral:rRNA from 1 species
AUGGGUUCGCCGCUGGGGGAAGAGGAGGAGGAACGGAUCCUGCUAGCGCGCGCGACGCCGCCGGAGAACUUUGAUGAAUACACAGGCGAUGGCUCAGUUGAUUUCAGAGGUCACCCUAUUUUAAAGCACAAUACAGGAAACUGGAGAGCAUGCUCAUUGAUUCUUGGGACUGAAGUGUGCGAACGCUUAGCCUACUAUGGGAUUUCCAAAAGUUUGGUCACUUAUCUUUCAACUAGACUGCAUGAAGGCAAUGUGUCUGCAGCUAGAAACUUCACAACCUGGCAAGGAACUUGUUAUCUCACACCACUUAUUGGAGCAACCUUAGCAGAUUCUUACUGGGGAAAGUAUCGGACUAUUGCUGUUUUCUCAACUAUUUACUUUCUUGGGAUGUCAGCAUUGACGCUUUCAGCAUCGGUUCCUUAUCUCCAGCCCCCUCAAUGUAUUGGGUCUUUUUGUCCAAAACCAGCCUUACACCAGUAUUUGAUAUACUUUGUUGGAUUAUACAUGAUUGCUUUAGGGGCUGGAGGUAUUAAGCCAUGUGUUUCGUCCUUCGGUGCAGACCAAUUUGAUGAUACCGAUCCAAUUGAGCGAACAAAGAAAGGCGCUUUCUUCAAUUGGUUCUAUUUCUCCAUAAAUAUCGGUUCAUUGAUCUCUGGCACUGUUCUUAUUUGGGUACAAGAAAAAUAUGGAUAUGGUAUUGGAUUUGCAAUCCCUACCUUUUUCAUUGCCCUGGCUAUUGGAAGCUUUUUUCUAGGCUCAGAGGUAUACAGAUUUCAGAUACCUGGAGGAAGCCCUCUUACAAGAGCAUGCCAGGUAGUUGUUGCAGCCAUUUACAAGCGAAAUGUGGACUUGCCAGUUGAUAGUUCUCUUCUCUAUGAGUGUCAUGGUAAGAGAUCAGCUAUCGAGGGGAGCCGCAAACUGGAGCACAGCAGUGAAUUCAGUAUGCUACUCUUUUGGUCUGACAUUCACAUGCUUGCAAAGCUUGUGUCUUCAGGCUUCCUGGACACAGCAAUCCCUUUUCAGAACUGUAACAGUUUCCUUGACAAAUCAGCAGUCAUUUUGCGGAGUGAAUGUGGCGAUAUUCAUAAUCCUUGGAGGCUUUGCACUGUUACACAGAUUGAAGAGCUCAAAAUAUUAAUGAGGAUGUUUCCAAUCUGGGCAACGGGCAUCGUGUUCUUCACUGUCUGCGCUCAGAAUUCAUCAAUGUUCAUAGAGCAAGGGAUGGCACUCAACAACCAAGUUGGAUCUUUCAAGAUCCCACCAGCCACCCUGUCGUCCUUGGACGUAAUCAGCAUCGUCGUUUGGGUCCCUAUCUAUGAGAGAUUCAUCGUGCCGAUAGCCAGGAGAUUGACUGGUAAGGAGAGGGGCUUCUCGGAGCUCCAGCGCAUGGGGAUCGGUCUUUUUGUGUCCACCAUCGCAGUGGCAGUCGCAGCAUUGGUCGAGAUCAAGCGCCUGGAGAGCGCAAGAUCCGAGGGCCUGGUCCAUCAGAAGGUGCCUGUUUCCAUGAGCAUUCUCUGGCAGGCGCCUCAGUACCUGCUGAUCGGGGUCGGUGAGGUGUUCACGUCCAUCGGGCAGGCUGAGUUCUUCUACAACCAGUCUCCGGAUUCCAUGAGAAGCCUGUGCUCGGCUUUCGCCCUUGUCACCGUGUCGCUUGGAAGCUAUCUUAGCUCGUUCAUACUGACCCUGGUGUCGUAUCUUACGACGCGUGGGGAGCAGAUGGGGUGGAUUCCUGACAACCUGAAUGAAGGCCACCUUGACCGCUUCUUCUGGCUCAUUGCUGGCCUCAGCUCCCUGAAUUUUCUCGCUUUUGUUUAUUUUGCACAGCAGUACAAGUGCAAGAAAGCUUCUGUACUUUGA